rnacentral:rRNA from 1 species
GAUGAACGCUGGCGGCGUGCCUAAUACAUGCAAGUCGAGCGAACAGACGAUGAGCUUGCUCCUCUGACGUUAGCGGCGGACGGGUGAGUAACACAUGGAUAACCUACCUCUAAUACUUGGAUAACUUCGGGAAACCGGUGCUAAUACCGGCUCAUAUAUUGAACCGCAUGAUUCAAUAGUGAAACACGGUUUUGCUGUCACUUAUAGAUGGAUCCGCGCCGCCUUAGCUAGUUGGUAAGGUAAAGGCCUACCAAGGCAACGAAGCGUAUCCGAGCUGAGAGGAUGAUCGGCCACACUGGAACUGAGACACGGUCAAGACUCCGACGGGAGGCAGCAGUGGGGAAUAUUCGGCAAUGGGCGAAAGCCUGAUGCAGCCACACCGCGUGAGUGAAGAAGGUCUUCGGGUUGUAAAGCCCUGUUGUUGGGAAAGAAAAGCAGCAUGUGAAAACACCCCUGUCCUGACGGUACCUAAAGAAUAAGCCACGGCUAACUUCGUG